GACGAACGCUGGCGGCGUGCUUAACACAUGCAAGUCGAACGAGACGAUUGAAAGCUUGCUUUCGAAAGUCGAGUGGCAAACGGGUGAGUAACGCGUAGACAACCUGCCUUUGAGAUGGGGACAACAGUUCGAAAGGACUGCUAAUACCGAAUGUUGUAUAUUUUCCACAUGGAAGAUAUAUUAAAGAUGGCCUCUAUUUAUAAGCUAUCGCUCAAAGAUGGGUCUGCGUCUGAUUAGCUAGUUGGUGGGGUAACGGCCUACCAAGGCGACGAUCAGUAGCCGGUCUGAGAGGAUGAACGGCCACAUUGGGACUGAGACACGGCCCAGACUCCUACGGGAGGCAGCAGUGGGGAAUCUUCCACAAUGGACGAAAGUCUGAUGGAGCAACGCCGGGGGAGUGAAGAAGGGUUUCGGCUCGUAAAGCUCUGUUGUCGGGGACGAAUGUGAAUUACUUGAAUAAAGUAGUGUAAUGACGGUACCUGACGAGGAAGCCACGGCUAACUACGUGCCAGCCGCCGCAGUAG
rnacentral:rRNA from 1 species